GCAUGAUCUUGCCUGGUGGGUGAGUGCAGGCUUCAAACCUGUAGACGACUAACGUCGUAGUUGUUCGAUUCAACCUU
rnacentral:tRNA from 14 species